UACGUAGGGUGCAAGCGUUAAUCGGAAUUACUGGGCGUAAAGCGUACGCAGGCGGCUAUGUAAGACAGGUGUGAAAUCCCCGGGCCUAACCUGGGAACUGCAUUUGUGACUGCAUAGCUAGAGUCCGUCAGAGGGGGGUGGAAUACCCAGUGUAGAGGUGAAAUUCGUAGAUAUUGGGUGGAACACCGGUGGCGAAAGCGGCUCUCUGGCCCGGAUCUGACGCUGAGGCGCGAAAGCGUGGGGAGCAAACAGG
rnacentral:rRNA from 1 species